AUUGAACGCUGGCGGCAGGCUUAACACAUGCAAGUCGAGCGCGCGGAGGACGGGUGAGUAAUUUCUGGGAAACUGCCUGACGGACGGGGAUAACUUCUGUAAACGGUAGCUAAUAUCGCAUACAAUCAGAUGGGCCCAGAUGGGAUGAGCGAGGAGGUGGGGUAAUGGCUCACCUAGGCGACGAUCCUUAGCUGGUCUGAGAGGAUGACCGGCCACACUGGGACUGAGACACGGUCCAGACUCGUACGGGAGGCAGCAGUGGGGAAUCUUGGACAAUGGACGAAAGCCUGAUGCAGCCAUGCCGCGUGAGUGAAGAAGUCCUUCGGGUUGUAAAGCACUUUCAGCGAGGAAGCGUUAUUCACAGAGGAAGCACCGGCUAACUCCGUGCCAGCAGCCGCGGUAAUUC
rnacentral:rRNA from 1 species